UACGUAGGAUGCAAGCGUUGUCCGGAAUUAUUGGGCGUAAAGAGCGCGCAGGCGGUAACUCAAGUCAGAUGUGAAAUAUCCGGGCUUAACCCGGAGGGGUCAUUUGAAACUGAGUAACUAGAGUACAGCAGAGGAUAGCGGAAUUCCCGGUGUAGUGGUGAAAUGCGUAGAUAUUCGGAAGAACACCAGUGGCGAAGGCGACUCACUGGACACGUAUUGACGCUGAGGUGCGAAAGCGUGGGGAGCAAACAGG
rnacentral:rRNA from 1 species